UACGGGGGGGGCAAGCGUUGUUCGGAAUUACUGGGCGUAAAGGGCCAGUAGGCGGCCAACUAAGUCGGAUGUGAAAUCCCCAGGCUCAACCUGGGAACUGCAUCCGAUACUGGAUGGCUUGAAUUCGGGAGAGGGAUGCAGAAUUCCAGGUGUAGCGGUGAAAUGCGUAGAUAUCUGGAGGAAUACCGGUGGCGAAGGCGGCAUCCUGGACCGACAUUGACGCUGAGGAGCGAAAGCUAGGGGAGCAAACGGG
rnacentral:rRNA from 1 species